rnacentral:rRNA from 1 species
GAUGAACGCUGGCGGCGUGCUUAACACAUGCAAGUCGAACGUGAGGGGGUAGCAAUAUCCUUGAAAGUGGCGCACGGGUGAGUAAUACGUAGGUAACCUGCCCUGGAGUGGGGGAUAACAACUGGAAACGGUUGCUAAUACCGCAUGAAGCCAAGACACUGGGAAGUGACUUGGUAAAAACUCUGGUGCUUCAGGAGGGGCCUGCGGCCGAUUAGCUAGUUGGCGGGGUAAGAGCCCACCAAGGCAGUGAUCGGUAGCUGGUCUGAGAGGACGAUCAGCCACACGGGAACUGAGACACGGUCGCGACUCCUACGGGGGGCAGCAGUGAGGAAUAUUGGGCAAUGGGCGGAAGCCUGACCCAGCAACGCCGCGUGGAGGAAGACGGCCUUCGGGUUGUAAACUCCUUUUACGGGGGAAGAGGAAGGACGGUACCCCGAGAAUAAGUCACGGCUAACUACGUGCCAGCCGCCGCCGUAACAC